GGUCUGCUCUGCUCGACCUCAGUGCCGUCACAUUGAUGCCACAACUCCAAUCAGACCGACAACCAUGCGACUACCUCAUUUCCUUAGGUGGCUUAUUUUUCCCUUCCCUUCACUCUUUCACACAUCACAACAAAAGAAAACAAAUCACAACAAUCUGGCCUUUUUUUCAACCUUAAUUGCAAAUUUGGCUCCAUUCUCUUGUUGCCCUUUGCAAAAUGCCAAAAUCCAUUCAACCAUUCCAUUGAAGCAGAAGAAAUUUUUAAUCGUUACACUUGGAAGCAGAAGAUCGGAGGUCUGUACAGGUUAAGUGUAUGUUGAUUUGUCUAAAUGGAUUGAUAUAAUGAUAUGUAAUUGUUAUCUUGGACCCUUGGUCUGAAACCUUGUUUAUAUGGUUCAGACAUUGUUUACACGGUUCUUGCUUUGUGUUGUGGUUUUUUAUUAAAAUGGUGCAUCUUUUAGUUUUUAAUGAAACUGUGAAGCAUGUGCUGGAGAUGAAGUAUGAUGCGUUAUACUUCGCUUGCAGUUAUGCUUUUGUUGUUUGUGUGUGCUUUAUGCUGAGUUCUAGAAUUCUGAUGCACUGCUUGCAGAACUCUGAAAUCUUGUUGUCAUCAUUUAAAGAGCUCGAUGGCUGUUAUAUUUUUAGUUUUAUUUGUGAAAUACUUCCUUGUUUUUAUAUGUUUGUUUGAACUUGAAUAAGAGAUAUGUAAUUUAUUUAGGAAUUGUUCGUGUCAAGGAUAAGGCCUGCUUAUGUGUUAUUCAGUUAUUGUUUUGUCCAUUCUAAUAUUAGUUAGCUAAGAAGUCUGGGUAAGGUUCUUGAAGUUAGGUUGUGUAUCUAUUUGCAGAAUAUGAUUUUUUCCUCAUGAUUGUUUCAGGUUGUUGACAUAUUUGAAUAUCUAGUUU
rnacentral:lncRNA from 1 species